rfam:Musca domestica strain aabys unplaced genomic scaffold Scaffold19148, whole genome shotgun sequence.
GUCAGGAUGGCCGAGCGGUCUAAGGCGCCAGACUCAAGAGAAAUCUUACCUCUCUACGGAGGUUGAGCGUUCUGGUCCUCUCUGAGGGCGUGGGUUCAAAUCCCACUCCUGACA